rnacentral:snRNA from 1 species
AGCUUUGCGCCGUGGCAGUAUCAUAGCCAAUGGGAUUUAUCUGAGGCGUGAUUAUUGCUAAUUAAAAACUGAACGCUGGUCAGGGACAGUUACUGAAAAUCCAUCAACAAGA